UAGGCAGAUGGGCGUGGAACAAACAUCCCCGCGGAGCACUAAACUGUAAGAAGCCUUUAAACAGCUGUUUGCAGAGCCCUGGACGUCCAGACUCGAGGGAGCGGUGCGGACUGCGAGCGCCAGGGCCCGGGUGGGGAAGGGGCUCCAAGGAGCCGCUGGGAUCGGCCCCUCGUGGGCUCGCCAAUCCCACGGCCCGGGCCUUCGCCCAGGGCGCACUGCUGGGGGGCGCCGAGGCGUGGCCGUUGGCAGCGCGGGGGUCAAGCCCCUGGCGCCUUCCUACAGGGCCUCGGGGCUUGGCACAGCCUUGCCCUUCCCCGGCUUCCGAGCCGACCCUCGGCAUCUAACCUCCAGCCGCUUCUCCACUCCGAGCCCUCGGACAGGACGCGGUAGAGCCUCCCCGAAGGGAAGUAUUGAGCACCUGCUGGAUGCCCGGCACUUGGACUGGGGCUACUGCCAGGGGCUGGGGAGAAACGUGAGUCUUCAUGGGCCCUGAGAGUUUCCACAGGAAACAAUGCCAGAGGAGACUGCAGCUCAGGACCAGGUCAUCGAGAGGAAGGAAAGCCUGGAUCCUCUCCCCUCCCUCCUCUCUUCCUUCCCCUUCUCUUCCUUCCUCCCGGCUGCGUCUCCUUGGCUCCACCCCUUCUCCUCAUCAAUUCCUCCCACACUUCCCUGCUCUCCCUGGCUUUUCACUGGAGGGUCCCUUCUCCCAGCUAGGAGCAGAUGCUGAGCCUCAUUGUCUCUCCCCCUCAGUGACUGCUGCCUCCCGGGGACAGGACCUGCCACUCUUCACCCCUCCCCCCAGCCCGCAGGCCUGGGCCUUUACAAACUGGAUCCCCAAGGUCACUGACCCUCACCCCACUCUAAACCAGCUCCUGGUGUUGUGAGCAAUGACUCCAGUCACUCAGAACAUGAUUUGUUUCUGACUGGGAGUGAGAAAACAGUAGCUUGGUACUUGCUUUAGCAAGGAGGACACCAUGAUUUUAAUGUCAGUGCACUGAGCCCUGGAUGACCCCAGAGCAUCCCCCCGACUUUGCCCUCUUAGUGGGAUAUACAGGGAGCUACAUUUCUGUCAUCUUAGAUCCUGUUUAGUGCACCUAAGGUAUACCCUCCAAAUAAAGCAAAACAGCUCUGACAGUCCAGCAUUCACGUAACAACUGCUUACCGAGUACCUACUCUGCCAGCUCCUAUGCUUGGGUGCUAAGGACCUAACAACCAAUGGCACACGCGGUCCUCACUUAGGCUUUGCAGACUGGCAGGGGAAGAAACAAGAAGACAGGCAACCACAGUGCCGCAUGUUACAUGUUAAGGAUGAAACAAGGAAGCACCUAAAAAAAGGGUGCUUGGACUAGGGUGGUCAGGGAUGGCUUUUCCUGGAGGAGGUUACAUCUAGAUGCGUAGGCCUGUGCCAGGUAAACUCAUAGGAAGGCACAGCCUGUCCAAAGUCCCCAAGGGAAGAGAGCACAUUCUUGCAGUUUCUUGGAACCUCCACAAGUAUUUGCUGCAGUGGGGAGUACAGUGGGGGAGUGGGGACACUUUGGUGUCAGGGCACAAGGCGGGGCAGGGGAGAGUGGGGAGUGUGUCAGGCAAUAAGUAAGGGAGGGGGCCGGAUAUCAGGGGGCUCUUCAGAUUUUAGCCUCUCCCACUUGCUAACUUCAUGAACUUGGGUGAUUAUAGUUUCCUUCCUUAUAAGAUAGGGGUAAGAAGACCAGUGGGCUGCAGAGACAGCAUCUUAUGUUUAAGCUCCCAGGCUUAUUUGCUGCAUAUCCCUGGGCCAGUUGACCUCUCUGAAUAUAAGUUUUCUCAUCUGUGAAAUGGGGUGAUAACACUUGACUCACAGGGUUUCUGCAAGGCUUAAAAGGCUUAAGACAUGCCUAGCUCAGUGUCUGGCACAUAAGCUCCAAUACAUGGUAGCUUUUAUUCAUUGUUAUUAUAGAUCAAGGAGUGACAGGGAGGUGCCCUUACAACCCAGAAAUGAGAUUUAUGUUCUGGGUUGAAACUAGAGUGAGUCACCAUGCCCGAAAUGCAAUGAGCUGGCUGUGGAGGAAGCAUUCCUUCAGAGGAUACCCUGUGUGCCCACAGGUGGCUGGGAUUGGGGAAUACCUACGUCUGACCAAGACGGCCAGUGUGUCGUCUCAGGAACAGGACCGGAAUGUGAGGACUGUGGUUACCAAGGCCUGGCCUGAUCAGUGGAGGUGUAGCUUGCCUGAAGAGCAAAUAGGAACCAGAAGAGAGUCAGCCUCGUAAAAUCCUGGAGGGCCCCUUGGAGCAGGCGCCUGGCUGUGUUUGCUCAGUGGAGAGAAGUAGACACAGAAGUUCACACUGGGGAGGAGAGAGGGGGAGAAAGAGACUUUUGACUCUUCCAGAGCCUGAAUUAAAUCUCUCAAAACCUCUUAGUCCUUUGCUUGGGUUCCUCAUUCUCCAAGCAACCUGCAGAUGAACUUGGCACCAACAAAAUGCCCCCUGGGUCCAGACAGACACCAGGGUUCCAGUUCCUGCGCUGUAAACCUUUUACGCUUCUAUUAUUUCUUUAUGACACAAGUUCAUUGUGAGAGAAUUUGAUAACCAGCUAAGCAAAACUGAAAGAGAACUCCAGUAGAGACAUUAUAUUUUUGUGUGUGUCCUUGGACGUUUUAUAUCCACAUAUCUACAUGUAAAAUGCACAUAGUAAUAAAACUAUGCAAAGUGAAUAUUGUUAAA